UCUUUUUUACGAUUAUCAUUUUCUUUCUUUCAGAUUUCUUAUUUUUGUUUUUCUUUUUUACGAUUGAGAACAUUUCUCAGCUCUCAGCUCAAUCGCCUCAAGAAAUCAGGUCUGGCCAUAAAUUAGAUCGCGCUGGUUUGAGCUCUUAGGUGGCCGGCCUACUGAAUCACGCACAUUUGCUGGAAAUUUGAAAGAAGAAAUUUGAAUUGGCUAAGAAGUUCAAGAACACAAUAAUCGUUAAUCAUCGGUGGAUAGAAGAUUGUGUAAAGCGACGGAAGCGUGUUCCAAAGCAUCCUUCUGCAAUUUUAGCUCAUAAAUUUUCAAGUUUGAUUAUAUAGUUUUUCUGGUAUUGAAUGUGCGGUCAAUUUUGAUUUGCUUAGUGUAGGUGAUUGUAGCAAUUUUAUUCACGUCCUAUCAUUCCAGGGGAGAAAAUUUAGUGGAAGUUCUUGGCUCUGUGAUGUGGUAAAAAUUAUAUGAGCUAUUUCUAUUUGAUUUUCUAGAGAGAAAUAGAAUAGUGUUAGAUCAUGAAGAAUUAUGAAGUUAAAUGGCACUGAUUUUGAAGACAGUGGUUGUGAUUUUAUCUUAUUAGGCUGAUAAGAAUUUUCUGA